UCAGAGAAGUCAUGCUACUCUUCUUUGUUUUAAUUGCUUUUAAAAACAUUGCAGGCGCUGUGGACAGCAGCAUUACACCAGAACAAACCAUCAUAUCUUCAAAUGAAGGCAGCAACACCACACUGACCUGCACAUAUGAUGCAUCAGCUAGAUAUCUCCACUGGUAUAGACAAAAGCCUCAGUCAGGACCAGAGUUUCUGCUGCUAAUUGUUGUAUCUUCCAGUGAUAUCAAUAAAGCUAAAGAACUUGACCCACGACUAUCCAUCAAACUUCGUAAAACGGCAAAUAAACUAGAUCUGGAGAUCUUUCCUACUGCAGUAUCAGACUCUGCACUCUACUACUGCGCCAUGGAGCCCACAGUGACACAAAGCACAAACAGACUUUAA